CCCCGCGUACAUGCCACCGGGGCAUCCCGGAGGCAGGAAAGGCUUCGGCCGGACAGGGAUGGGCAUGCGGCGCAUUAGGCAGUAGGCGGGGUAACGGCCCACCUAACCGACGAUGCGUAGGGGUUCUGAGAGGAAGGUCCCCCACACUGGUACUGAGACACGGACCAGACUCCUACGGGAGGCAGCAGUGAGGAAUAUUGGUCAAUGGUCGGGAGACUGAACCAGCCAAGCCGCGUGAGGGAUGAAGGUACAGAGUAUCGUAAACCUCUUUUGUCAGGGAACAAAGGCGGGGACGUGUCCCCGGAUGAGUGUACCUGAAGAAAAAGCAUCGGCUAACUCCGUGCCAGCAGCCGCGGUAAUACGGAGGAUGCGAGCGUUAUCCGGAUUUAUUGGGUUUAAAGGGUGCGCAGGCGGUCUGUUAAGUCAGCGGUCAAAGCCCGGGGCUCAACCCCGGCCCGCCGUUGAAACUGGCAGUCUCGAGUUGGAGAGAAGUAUGCGGAAUGCGCGGUGUAGCGGUGAAAUGCAUAGAUAUCGCGCAGAACUCCGAUUGCGAAGGCAGCAUGCCGGCUCCACACUGACGCUGAGGCACGAAAGCGUGGGUAUCGAACAGGAUUAGAUACCCUGGUAGUCCACGCAGUAAACGAU
rnacentral:rRNA from 1 species